CGGGGCGUAGCGCAGAGGCAGGCGCGCCGGUCUCCAAAACCGGAACACGCUGGUUCGAAUCCAGCCGCCCCGU
rnacentral:tRNA from 3 species